UACGUAGGCAGCAAGCGUUGUUCGGAGUUACUGGGCGUAAAGGGUGUGUAGGCGGUUCUUUAAGUUUGGUGUGAAAUCUCCCGGCUCAACUGGGAGGGUGCGCCGAAUACUGAGGGACCAGAGUACGGGAGAGGAAAGUGGAAUUCCUGGUGUAGCGGUGAAAUGCGUAGAUAUCAGGAGGAACACCGGUGGUGUAGACGGCUUUCUGGACCGACACUGACGCUGAGACACGAAAGCGUGGGUAGCAAACAGG
rnacentral:rRNA from 1 species